ACGAACGCUGGCGGCGUGCUUAACACAUGCAAGUCGAACGGAAAGGCCCUGCUUUUGUGGGGUGCUCGAGUGGCGAACGGGUGAGUAACACGUGAGUAACCUGCCCUUGACUUUGGGAUAACUUCAGGAAACUGGGGCUAAUACCGGAUAGGAGCUCCUACUGCAUGGUGGGGGUUGGAAAGUUUCGGCGGUUGGGGAUGGACUCGCGGCUUAUCAGCUUGUUGGUGGGGUAGUGGCUUACCAAGGCUUUGACGGGUAGCCGGCCUGAGAGGGUGACCGGCCACAUUGGGACUGAGAUACGGCCCAGACUCCUACGGGAGGCAGCAGUGGGGAAUAUUGCACAAUGGGCGGAAGCCUGAUGCAGCAACGCCGCGUGCGGGAUGACGGCCUUCGGGUUGUAAACCGCUUUCGCCUGUGACGAAGCGUGAGUGACGGUAAUGGGUAAAGAAGCACCGGCUAACUACGU
rnacentral:rRNA from 1 species